GCGGCUGAGGGAAGCGCGGGCGGCCAUUUUGUGCUGCUGGGUAGGGGCGCGGGUGGGGGAGGGGGGAAGGAGGCGAGGCUGGCUAUUGCUGCUGCUUCUUCGCUGGGAGACGGGCGAGUCGGGCAGCAGAAGCCUCCCUUCCCUCGCAGGCGCUCGACGCAACAUGGCCGAGCGGGCAGCCGCCGCCGCCGCCAACUCCCCCUGCCCGCUCCGAGCGGCCCACCGGCUCGAGGUGGGGUCCUCCGGCCGGGCCCAGCUCCCCGGUCAGCCAGGGAAGGGGGGGUGCCUGCGCCGCCCUGCGCCCCGAAACGCGGCGGUGGGGCUGGGGCGCCCCGGCUGGCCGGGCUUCGCCCUUCCCGGGGCGGCCCCGAGCCCGUCUCCCGCUCCUCAGAAGGUAUCCCAUGAGUGUUUUCCAUUUCCAUAACUGAUGAUCAGAAGAACUUUGCAGACUUAUUUUUGCUAGAUUGCAUCGGGUUCUGCUAACUGGGAAGGUUUCGAUGCAGCUAGAAGAAAACAUGCAGAGUUUUUGAGUGCUUCAGAGUUGUUGAAGGACUGAACUUGAAAAAUCUGAUGCAGGCUGAAACGAGUCCAGACAAAGGAAGAAUCUCAAAGGGAGACCGCGAGUUCCAAAUCAAGAUGGCAGUUCCACUGAUUGAGAGGUUGAGGAAAUGAACUAAUGCAUGAUUGCUGAGUGUAUCCAUCCAAGACAGGGACACUUUAGCAUGGACUACGGUGUUAACUAAACCAGAGAAGAUUUGGCCUUAUGACCAUCUGACAAAUGGAUUUUUUUUUUUUAAAAAAUUAAAUUAUUUCAGACUCUUGUAUUGAUAGAACUCAUUUUGGGGUAUGGAAUUGGACUCACAGUUUUCAGGAUUGUAUGUAUACCUGUUUAUCCCUUGUUUACUUGACAGAAGUACAAUGCUUUCUUAAAUUGCUUAAAUAAAAGUAUUUUUACAUUUUUA